CGCGUCAUUUUGACAUUUAAAAAAUUGCAAAAUAUUUAACGAUUUACAUAAUUGAUAAGAAAUAUAAACGUAAUUUAUGAUAUUGAAAAGUGAAAAAUGCCAGCAAGACGCAAGGGGGCCCAUUUAGGCCGUCGAACUAAUAAUGCAUCAAGCAUGCGUUAUAAUAGAGCAGAAAGAACAAACGAACAAAUCUAACUAAAUAACGAAAAUGUUUUGCUCAUCGGCACGUAUCCAGUAGCAAGGCUGUUCCUGAAGUCCAUUCGCACACGAAAAAAUAUCGCAAAGGACUUCAUUCCUCCCCGGGUCUCUUAUACCCCAACCGUACAUUUUUUUGUUAUUGUUUUAAUUUACACGGGACUUAUAUUGUGUCUUCAUCGCAAUUUUGUGGAGGAAAGUCAAGAAACCGAGAUUGUAGCAAGUUUAAUUAAGCAAUUUUGAAACAUAAGUUAAUAAAUCAUGUAAAUUAAUUCAAGUAUACAUACAUUACAUACAUUCAAUAUACACAUGAUUCGAGUGUUUACUAUUGACAGUAUAAUCAGAGAAAUGUUAGUAUAAUCAUAUGCUCAGCGUAAAAAAAAACUAUCGAAAGAAAAAAUCAAUGAACAUUAUCAAGCAGUUAUAACAAUAUUUAAUUUAUAGUAGAUUCUGUUUUGUUUGUUUGGAACUUUUAAAGACAAUUUUGAUGUUUAAUUUAUUAAGGGUUUAAAUUACUUUGACAAUAAUUAAAAUAAAUCCUAGAAAUAAUAUCAUUAUUCCGAAUCAAAUUUAAUUAUUUAAUGCAAUAAGUAAAACUUAAUUCCAUUUAAAUUUUGUUAGCAGCGCCACCUUUGAACAGACUUUGUUUAUAUAGUUUGUGUGAAAUAUCUCAUCUCGAGUUGUGUAAAAUAUUAAACUCAUUUCAAAAAAUAUUAAGCAGUAAUUCAUUUCAAUUUGUCUGUUUUAAUAGAAACUGUUAGUUGCUAAUAAUUGAAUCGAUUGAAAGGCAAUAAAAAGACGCGGUUUUCUCACUGGAAUUAUAAAAGGAUUAAUUUGGAAUUGGAGAUUAAGGAUUUGGGCACACCAUGUUUAUCACACGGACAAGUAUACGUGGCAUGUUCUCGGGUGGGCAAACCAUCGAGCUUAUUUGUGUUGGCUAAAGACGACCUGACAAAAAAUAUCGUACACUCAAUUGCUCUUCGAAAUUAAUUAACUACUUUAGGAUAAAAAUAUAUUACUUCUUUCAAUUUACAUUUAACUUUUAAUGAAACAAUGAAUAUGUCCAUUACAUUAAUCAAAUACAUUGAAUUGAGAAAAUGAA